GUAGGGAAUCUUCCACAAUGGACGCAAGUCUGAUGGAGCAACGCCGAGUGAGUGAAGAAGGUCUUCGGAUCGUAAAGCUCUGUUGUUGGUGAAGAAGGAUAGAGGCAGUAACUGGUCUUUAUUUGACGGUAAUCAACCAGAAAGUCACGGCUAACUACGUGCCAGCAGCCGCGGUAAUACGUAGGUGGCAAGCGUUGUCCGGAUUUAUUGGGCGUAAAGCGAGCGCAGGCGGAAUGAUAAGUCUGAUGUGAAAGCCCACGGCUCAACCGUGGAACUGCAUCGGAAACUGUCAUUCUUGAGUGCAGAAGAGGAGAGUGGAACUCCAUGUGUAGCGGUGGAAUGCGUAGAUAUAUGGAAGAACACCAGUGGCGAAGGCGGCUCUCUGGUCUGCAACUGACGCUGAGGCUCGAAAGCAUGGGUAGCGAACAGGAUUAGAUACCCUUGUAGUCC
rnacentral:rRNA from 1 species